CACAAAAUUCAAUGUUCUGGGAGAAUUGGAAGCAGCUCCAUUUUUUGGGGUCUGGGCCCCAGGGCCUGAUGGUGAGUAUGCCCAUAAGGCCCACUCAUAAGUUCCACCCACCCAUGAGUUCGCUCACAGGGAGUGGAGUGCGUAGGGGAUGUGUUAUGUGUUUUUGUAGAGGAUCUAAUAUGUGUGCUUAUGGUAUGUAGUGUAUAGGGUUACCAGUUUGUGCAGGUGCUGUAGUGUGUUUGUGUGUAGUGGAAGCAGUGUGUAUUUGUGUAUAAGGGAUGUAUUAUGUGUUUCUGGUUGUGUGUAAGGGAUGUAUUGUGUGAAUCUGUGUUUGUAUGCAUAAGGGAUGCAAGGUGUGUGUCUGUAUGUGUGUGCAUUGAGUGUAAGAGAUGCAUUGUGUUUCUGUGUGUAUGUAAGAAAAG